rnacentral:rRNA from 1 species
AUUGAACGCUGGCGGCAGGCUUAACCCAUGCAAGUCGAACGAGCGGCGGACGGGUGAGUAAUGUCUGGGAAACUGCCUGAUGGAGGGGGAUCACUACUGGAAACGGUAGCUAAUACCGCAUACCAUCGGAUGUGCCCAGAUGGGAUUAGCUAGUAGGUGGGGUAACGGCUCACCUAGGCGACGAUCCCUAGCUGGUCGGAGAGGAUGACCCGGCACACUGGAACUGAGACACGGUCCAGACUCCUACGUGAGGCAGCAGUGGGGAAUAUUGCACAAGGGGCGCAAGCCUGAUGCAGCCAUGCCGCGUGUGUGAAGAAGGCCUUCGGGUUGUAAAGUACUUUCAGCGAGGAGGCGUUACUCGCAGAAGAAGCACAGGCUAACUCCGUGCCAGCAGCCGCGGUAAUUC